AAUUGAGAAAAGGUUAUUAAGCAAUGACAGCAGAAACCUCAUGCAUUUCAGAAAUUGAACAACCUUACAGAACUUUUAUAAUCAGAGCUCCUAAAUAAUUAAUAAGGACUGCUCUCCAAAAUCAGUUCUUCAAAGAAUGGAGGUAUAAGGAAAGCAAAUGACUAUUUAGCCUAGAGAUAAAUUCUUUCAAACGAAUACGGAACCAUUGAAAUGAAUUUAGUAACUACUAACUUUGUCAGGU
rnacentral:misc_RNA from 1 species